AGCUGUAAGGCUACCCCACAUCGAGGAGGCCAGGUUCAGCUGUCAAGGAAACCGAGCGGCGGAGGCGACGAUCGAGUCGAGCACAGAGAAGCAGGCGGCGCCCGGGAUCUCUUCCAUAUUCUCGCCCUCUCCCCAACGCACGCCAAAGGGAAGCAGUGCACGCGUCGAGUGGGGGGGGGGGGGGGGGUUCACGGCAUGCUCUCAGCCCCGAUCCCUGUCCUCUCCGUUCAAGACACCCCACCCCCACUGCACUGAAGGCAGUGUCUGUGGCUCUGGUGAAUGCUUGCCAGUAGCAGCUCACAGCAGCAACAACCUGAUGCAAAUUUCCAGGAUGACCCUACACAAACUUGGUACCCCUCUCUGGUUGGUUCAUCUUCACAUCCAUCUACGCUGAGCUUUUCCAGUGUUUGUCCACAUCAAAGAGCUUCUGAUAAUCCCUAGUCUUCAUGGUGUGGUUAACCAUGUCUAGAUAAGCCUGCAGGGAUAAUUGAUCAUUCGAAGGACAAAAGGGGAAAAUUUGGAGAAGGAACAACAGAUCAUGGAGCUCAGGAAUCAGGUUUAGUAGUAUCACCUCCAUCCCAAUAUUAACUAGAAAUUACUGUAGCCAUGUGAUUCUAUUCAUCACUAUUGAACAAAUUAUUGUGGCCUUAUUAUGGAUAAAUUUUAAAUACAAUAAAGGUUUAAUGUCAUAAUAAUGGAUUCUGUCAGUCUUUUGUUGACAUCGG